rnacentral:pre_miRNA from 2 species
UUUUAUGGAUGAUCAAAGAAAGUGGUUUCUUGAGAUGAAGUCUACUCCUGUGAAGAUGCUGUGAA